AAACUAUGCGUUAGGCAUUUUCUAAUUAAUUCCUUGAAACGCUCCAAUACUUCGUAUAAUGUCUCACCUUCAGAUUGCCUGAACAUGUAAUGUCAUUCCUCAACUU
rfam:Gossypium raimondii chromosome 8, whole genome shotgun sequence.